rnacentral:misc_RNA from 1 species
CAACACUCAAAAAUUAAAGCCCUCACCGGCCACAACCUCCAGCCCCUCUCUUCUCUGUUCACUAACAGCGUCUCAGCGACAGUGGCGCAGUGCGAACGGAGCAGCAAGACUCUCGUCCGACGUUUCUCAGUCUCUCAGCGGGAAGACUGAUUCCUUGCAAUUUUCUUAAUCAGUUUGAAGUUUUGAUUCUCCUGUUGGAACUGAAGUGAAGUUUUAUGACCCACGGAAGGGUUUGUGGAAGAAGAUCAAUUUUUCUUUUCAAUGGAUCCCAAAUAUGCAGGAGAAACUUUGAAGCAUCUAGAGAAAGAAAGUGAACUACUCUUGAAUGCCCAUAAAGCAAUGUCAGAUGAAUUGCACAGGCUUCAGGUUGAGGAAGAAAUGAUGAUGCGCAAGUUACAUGAACUUAUUUCAGCUCACAAUCUAAGUAAAAAGAAAGGCUUAAAUGAUAAUGCUGAGAAAAGGCAGAAUGACCAGGAAGGAGCACCGGUCGACAUGACUAAUGGUGCUGAUGAAAGGCAGAAUGACCUGGAAGGAGCUGCCAUUGACAUGACUAAAGGUGAUCACUAAUGUAUAAGUGAGAUAGAUAUCCGAUCCCUAGGCUAUCUGUAUCCAUUGUUAGCCUUACACUUUAAGUAUGCCAUUUUUGGUCUCACAUUGCCGAUGCUUUUAGAUUGCUUCUCACAUAGAUCUCUCAGCUACGUAGAAAGUGAUACAUAUGUCUUGAUAGUAUAGAUGAUGCAAGCUGUUUCUCAUGUCUGUCCAGAUUUAUUCUUGCUUAGUAAUUUAAUCAACAGAGCUAUAUUGCAACAUCCAGUCCUGCAUCUGACACAAGGGAUGUUUGGGCAACCCUUCACUCCACGAACUUUUGUGGUUG